rnacentral:tRNA from 1 species
UAAUAAAGAGGUGUAUUGGCACAAAAAAUUUUGAAUUUUUAGGAGGUCUUUUGUAAGGUUCUUUAUUAU